UGCCAGCAUCCGCGGUACCCCUGGUUGCGCAAUCGUUAUUCGGAAUUAUUGGGCGUAAAGGGCGCGCAGGCGGUCUUGUCAGUCAGGUGUGAAAGCCCGGGGCUCAACCCUGGAAGUGCACUUGAAACAGCAAGACUUGAGUACUGGAGAGGAAAGUGGAAUUCCUGGUGUAGAGGUGAAAUUCGUAGAUAUCAGGAGGAACACCGAUGGCGAAGGCAGCUUUCUGGACAGAUACUGACGCUGAGGCGCGAAGGCGUGGGGAGCGAACGGGAUUAGAUA
rnacentral:rRNA from 1 species